rnacentral:rRNA from 1 species
UACAGAGGGGGCAAGCGUUGUUCGGAAUUACUGGGCGUAAAGGGCGCGUAGGCGGCCUUCUAAGUCGAACGUGAAAUCCCCGGGCUCAACCCGGGAACUGCGUCCGAUACUGGAGGGCUCGAGUGCGGGAGAGGGAUGUGGAAUUCCAGGUGUAGCGGUGAAAUGCGUAGAUAUGUGGAGGAACACCAAUGGCGAAGGCAGCCCCCUGGGUCAACACUGACGCUCAUGCACGAAAGCGUGGGGAGCAAACAGG